rnacentral:rRNA from 1 species
GCUAUCAGAGUGUGGACCACCACUGGACAUCAGUCCAUGGUUGCUCACCGGUCCUCCCAGCACAUCCAUGUAUGACGCAGAUGAGCACAGGUUAACUUGAAAUUAUGGUUACUUUGGUGCCUAACAAUGCAAUAGAAUAUUUUUUUGGUCCCUUCUGCGAUACCCUCCCUCUUUCAUACCCUCCCUCUUUCAUACCCUCCCUCUUUCAUACCCUCCCUCUUUCAUACCCUCCCUCUUUCAUACCCUCCCUCUUUCAUGCCCUUACUCCACCUCACUCGGUGCUUGGUUCAGACAUUUACCGUAUCACCAGUUUUCUCUAUUCUACUUCCUCCUUGCAAAUUCCAAAUACUUCGAUUCCGGAGAGGGAGCCUGAGAAACGGCUACCACAUCCAAGGAAGGCAGCAGGCGCGCAAAUUACCCAAUCCCAAUACGGGGAGGUAGUGACAAUAAAUAACGAUACAGGGCCUUUGGUCUUGUAAUUGGAAUGAGUACAAUUUAAAAACCUUAGCAUGGAACAAUUGGAGGGCAAGUCUGGUGCCAGCAGCCGCGGCAUUUCCAGCUCCAAGAGCGUAUAUUAAAGUUGUUGCAGUUAAAAAGCUCGUAGUUGAAGUUUGGUGGUAACUAUUUAUUUAGUGACUGCCACCAGCCUUUGGCUGGUGUUACUUUGAGUAAAUGAAAGUGUUUAAAGCAGGCAACGCCUGAAUCCUCUAGCAUGGAAUAACAGAAUUUGACGAUUUUAUUUUGUUGGUUCUAGAAAUCGUAAUGAUUAAUAGGGACGGUCGGGGACAUCAGUAUUCAAUAGUCAGAGGUGAAAUUCUUAGAUUUAUCGAAGACUAACUACUGCGAAAGCAUUUGUCAAGGACGUUUUCACUAAUCAAGAACGAAAGUUAGGGGCUCCAAGAUGAUCAGAUACCGUCGUAGUCUUAACCAUAAACUAUGCCGACUAGGGAUCGAGUGUUGAUCAAUAUUUUGACGCACUCGGUACCUUACGAGAAAUCAAAGUUUUUGGGUUCUGGGGGGAGUAUGGUCGCAAGGCUGAAACUUAAAGGAAUUGACGGAAGGGCACCACCAGAAGUGGAACCUGCGGCUUAAUUUGAAUCAACACGGGAAAUAUCACCAGGUCCAGACACAAUAAGGAUUGACCGAUUGAGAGCUCUUUCUUGAUUUUGUGGGUGGAGGUGCAUGGCCGUUCUUAGUUGGUGGAGUGAUUUGUCGGCUUAAUUGCGAUAACGAACGAGACCUUAACCUUUAAAUAGGGUCUUUAGCUUUUGCUGAAGGAACUUCUUAAAGGGACUAUUGAUUAAAAAUCAAUUGAAGUUUGAGGCAAUAACAGGUCUGUGAUGCCCUUAGACGCGCUACACUGACAACGAGUUGACCCUAGCCGGGAGGUUUGGGAAAUCUGGAAACUCCGUCGUGAUGGGGAUAAAGCAUUGAAAUUAUUGCUUUCCUUAUCCGUCUAUAUUACAGUCCGUCUGUCGAUAUAACGGCUUCGGGUCU